ACAGAAAGGUUAUACUGCUACCUGCUGAUAGCCAGCUGUCCUAAAUGGUAUCACCACCUGCUUCCUAUCUGUACAGCUGUAAAUCUCUUACUCCUCUCACCUCCCACUGCAGUAUCUGUCUAGCUCAUCACACUUAAGGACACACAUUACCCAGGUAGGCAUCCUGGUACAGGUGCUACUACCUUAGCACCUGGACAAGUGCCACAAUGCUUUCUCUUAGCCUAGGUAACUAAUUCACUUUCCUACAUUCCUGUGAGAUAAGAAAAUGUGUGGGAUUCCAACACAGCAUAAAGUAAAAACAAUGUGAUUUUUCAGGAAUGCUCUAUCAGAUGUGUUGGAGCCAAGCUUCUGCAAGCAAACUCCUGACCUGAGAUGUAAGUCCUCUUCCUUCUGCAAGCCUUCCUUGCCUUGCAUAUGGUUCUGCUUACAAGCCUGGAGACGCUCAACGAGUUAGCAACUGCCCAGCUGAAACAGCACAGGCUUGAUCUGAUGCCUGAUCCUGAUACAUGCAUAACAAGGCAGAAGGGAAAUGACUUCUCUGAGAGGUAUCCAGCAAGUUAAUGACAAUUAGAAACAGAUCUCAUCCCAGAGCACAUGGGCACAGUGGGGUGUUCUGCCCACUCGAGUUCAAGUCUGAGACCCUUAACUCAUCUGCUGGAUAACCAGAAGAAAGUAAAUACAUAUUGGAUCUGAAAGAUCAUCUUCCUCUUUGAAAAUGUGACAGGGAAGACCUCUGUAGAUGCACUGUGAAUUUGCUAACCAAAAAAGCAGCAGGAAAGAAGAGCAGUCUGUGCAGCUGCCUCUCAUUGGUGCAAUGACACAUAGACUGAAAACUCCAGAUAACCAACAAUGGAGCAAAGAGUCCAAGCACUGCGAGAUGGCUCCUUUGAUAACAAGCAAUCCAGGCUGAUAGUCACUUGGUAACAGUCACCUCCUGCCAGAAGAGACUCUUUCUGGGAGAUAGACAGCAGUGCCCUACAGGCUGGUGAGGAGAAAAUCAAGAGUAGAGGACAUCGAAACUGAAAACAAGUCGAAAAGGAAGUAUGCUGUAGAAGUCUCAUCUGAUAACUUCAGACUGCACACUUGUCUCACCAUUUGCAGAGCUGCUAAGCCAGGUG